GACGAACCGUGCAAACGUUAUUCGGAAUCACUGGGCUUAAAGGGCGCGUAGGCGGCCUUCUAAGUCAGACGUGAAAUCCCCCGGCUUAACCUGGGAACUGCGUCUGAUACUGGGAGGCUUGAGUAUGGGAGAGGGAUGUAGAAUUCCAGGUGUAGCGGUGAAAUGCGUAGAUAUCUGGAGGAAUACCGGUGGCGAAGGCGGCAUCCUGGACCAUUACUGACGCUGAGGCGCGAAAGCUAGGGGAGCAAACGGG
rnacentral:rRNA from 1 species